rnacentral:rRNA from 1 species
CAGGAGAGUUCGAUCCUGGCUCAGAUUGAACGCUGGCGGGAUGCUUUACAUGCAAGUCGAACGGCGGCACGGACUUCCGGUCUGGUGGCGGAAGUGGCAGACGGGUGAGUAAUGUAUCCGGAACGUGCCUAGUAGCGGGGAUAACUACGCGAAAGCGUAGCUAUUGCAUACGCCCUUCGGGGGAAAGCAGGGGACCUUCGGGCCUCGCACUAUGAAACGGCCGAUAUCGGAUUAGCUGGUUGAUGAGGUAACGGCUCGCAAGGCGACGAUCCAUGGCUGGUUUGAAGGACGACCAGCCGCACUGGGACUGAGACACGGUCCAGACUCCUACGGGAAGAGCAGCAGUGGGGAAUUUUGGACGGUAAACCCUGAUCGCUCAUCCCGCGUGGCGCGACUUCUGAAGGCCUUCGGGUUGUAAACGCACAGCAGGAAAGAAGCGGCGCAGGAUAUCGCUCACCCGUGCAACUGACGAGGUACCUGCAGAAUAAGCACCGGCGGCUAACUACGUGCCCGGCGCGGGUAAUACGUAAGUUGCAAGCGUUAAUCAGGUGCACCUAUCGACAACUAAAGGCGUGCCUCGGGCGGUUCGGAAAAAGAUGUGAAAUCCCACAGAGCCAACUUUGGGUUUGCAUUUUUAACUACCGAGCUAGAGUGUGUCAGAGGUGGAAUUUCCGCGUGUAGCAGUGAAAUGCGUAGAUAUGCGGAGGAACACCGAUGGCGAAAAACUUAGCCUCCUGGGAUAACAUGGCGCUCAUGCACUACAAGCGUGGGAGCAAACAGGAUUAGAUGCCCUGGUGAUCCACGCCUAAAGCGAUGUCAACUAGCUGUUUACAGGGCCUUCGGGCCUUGGUAGCGCAGCUAACGCAUGAAGUUGACCGCCUGGGGAAGUACAGUCGCAAGACCAAAACUCGAGGAAUUGACGGGGACUACCUGAAAGCGGUGGAUGAUGUGGAUUAAUUCGAUGCAACGAAAACCUUACCUACCUCGACAUGUCUGGAAUCCCGAAGAGAUUUACGGGAGUGCUCGCAAGAGAACCGGAACACAGGUGCUGCAUGGCUGUCGUCAGCUCGUGUCGUGAGAUGUUGGGUUAAGUCCCGCAAACGCAACCCUUGAUAGGUGAUUUGCUCCACGAAGGCACUCCUAAUGAGACUGCCGGUGACAAACCGGAGGAAGGUGGGGAUGACGUCCGUCCUCAUGGCCCCUUGUGGGUAGGGCUUCACGUCAUACAAUGGUCAGGACAGAGGGUCGCCAACCCGCGAGGAACAAUCCCGGCCCGAUCGUAGUCCGGAUCGCGGUCUGCAACUCGACUGCGUGAUCGGAAUCGCUAGUAAUCGCGGAUCAGCAUGUCGCAGUGAAUACGUUCCGCGGGUCUUGUACACACCGCCCGUCUACAUGGGAGUGGGUUUUUCCCGGUGAUUAGCCUAGCCGUAAAGGAGGGCGGUGCGGUAGGAUUCAUGACUGGGGUGAAGUCGUAACAAGGCGG